CCGUCUGCCGGUUUUGUCGGGGAGCCCGGCGGCUCUGUGGUGUUCAAGCAGGAACCUCAUGCUACCGGCAGGAUGCGGCGCUUGCUUGAACAUCCCAGAGCCACCGGCGUGCCAAAAUUCACGCAGAAGGAGACCCCUCGAGGAGUGAUCCGCCAAGCUGGAGUACCUGAACGUCUUCUUCAAGUACUCCACUUUUUUUUCUUGCGGAGAAAAAGGUGGAAUACCUGAAGAAGAUUUUCAGGUAGUCCAUUAGAAAGCUCACCAUAUUACCUCCAAGACCGUGCUGCAUCCCGCAGAGGUUUGAAGAUUAUGCGUAUUGAAGUUCAGCACAGGCAUGCUCCUAUAGCUGGAUAAGAAUUAUGCAUUAAAAUAGAUAUGUAAAAAUGAAAAUAGCAUUCUAAUUGGAAUGCUAGGUUUGAAGAUUCCAUAUGGAGGUUGGUAGCGUAACUCUUUAAGUCGGAAGUGUGAUUCAUUUGAAGCCGUUGCGGCAAUGUUCUAAUUCGCGCACAGUUUUCCUGUGCUCCUUUUGCAGAAAACUAUAGUGCAGUUGGGUAUUUGUGCUUAUGCCAGUACUUGUGCUGUAGAUUCUCCCUAACUGAUUGGUUUGUUCUCUCUAUUUUUUCUGAUUUGAUACCCGUUUCUCGUUUUUUACAUGUUCUUUUCUGUUUGCAUCAUUAGCUGGUUAGGGAGUUUUGAGCGAUGAUGACAUUAUGUGGACUAGAGUUUCUGAUACUGCCUCUUCAGCAGUACUUUUGAAGACAAACCCUUGGCUGUCUGAGCUCUCCCCCCCUUUGUGCAUUUAUAUCUUUUGAUUAGUUCAUGUAUUCUUUUGUUCAUUACCAAUUCCUCAGGAUGAUUUAUCAAUUCCUUGAGAUGAUCGUGUUUCUCAUGGUAUAAUUGCUUGGACCUUGGGUUGUUGUAUUGUGAUCUUUGUGUGGUGUUUUUCAUUGGUCCUGAUGCCAUUUCGCUGGUAGCUACAGCUUUGACUGGAGAUAUUACAUUGUGCCAAGAGAGUGAUCUUGACGUCUCAAAUUUGAUAGGAAUCUGUGGACAUGAUUUAGUAGGUACGCAGAGCCAUAUUUUGUGAUUACACUUUCUGAUUUUAAGUUGGAGGGAAUCAAUGUCGAUGAUGAUAAAACAUAGGCUUGUUUCUCAAAACAUUCGCAGUUGCCACCUAAGAGCUUUCGCCCUGCCAGGCUUGAGAGCUAAUGCUGCUAAUUCCUUCCUUGGAUGUCUGAGACAUUGAUUUUACUCAUUUGAAUCUUUUUUUGUCUCUGCUCUAUCUUUUUGAUUUAACAAGAUAUUAUGUUAUUGUACUUGCUUUGUAUACUUUGCUUAUUUUUAAUUGGGUGAAAUCAAUGGCGAUGGUGAUAAAACUUAGGCUUGUUUCUCAAAACAUUCGCAGUUGCCGCCUAAGAGCUUUCGCCCUGCCAGGCUUGAGAGCUAAUGCUGCUAAUUCCUUCCUUGGAUGUCUGAGCCAUGUUGAUAUUACUCAUUUGAAUAUUUUUUUGUUUCUGUUUUAUCUUCCUGCUUUAAGAGGAUGUGUUUGUGAUUAUACUUGCUUUGCAAACUUACCAUAAUAUGUUUUCACUGUACUUAUUUGGAAGUGGGGGAAAUCAAUGGUGAUGAUGAUAAAACUUUGGCUUGUUUCUCAAAACAUUCGCAGUUGCAGCCUAAGGGCUUUUGCCCUGCCAGGCUUGAGAGCUAAUGCUGCUAAUUCCUUCCUUUGAUGUCUCAGCCAUGUUAAUUUUACUCAUUUGAAUCCUUUUUUUGUCUCUGCUUUAUCUUCUUGAUUUAACAAGAUAUUAUGUUAUUGUACUUUUUGUAUACUUUGCUUACUUUUAAUCGGGUGAAAUCAAUGGUGAUGAUGAUAAAACUUAGGCUUGUUUCUCAAAACAUUCGCAGUUGCAGCCUAAGAGCUUUCGCCCUGCCAGGCUUGAGAGCUAAUGCUGCUAAUUCCUUCCUUGGAUGUCUGAGCCAUGUUGAUUGUUUGUCUCUGUUUUAUCUUCCUGGUUUAAGAGUAUGUGUUUGUGAUUAUACUUGCGUUGCAAACUUACCAUAAUAUGUUUCCACUGUACUUAUUUGGAAUUGGGGAAAUCAAUGGCGAUGACGAUAAUACUUAGGCUUGUUUCUCAAAACAUUCGCAGUUGCCGCCUAAAAGUUUUCGCCCCGCCAGGCUUGAGAUCUAAUGCUGCUAGUUCCUUCCUUGGAUGUCUGAGCCAUGUUAAUUUACCUGAUUUAAUGUUCUUUGUGGCCGUCUGACUUGAUGAUACUGGUUUUGAUCUGAUAUAUUUGUACUAGGAUGAGAGGUGUAGAGAGCUGCGGGAUAAUAAGAAUAUUAGAACCAUGAAAUUCCAGUUACCUGCCCAUUCUAUUCAGGUUCAUACCGCGCUUUGCUAUAUAUCUGCCUGUUUGGAACAUAGGAUUCUGAAACGUAGAAACAUAUGAUAAACUAAAUCUUGUUUCUCAAAACAUUCACAGUUGCUACUAAGUAUUUCUCAAAACGCUCAUUGGUGUUAACAUGAUUGUGUUGCAUCCUUUAGUAUCUUCAUUGAGGAGAACCAGAAGUUUGGUUGGUUUUUCUGGAGGACGGUGAAGAUUGAUAUUUGGUCUCGUUAGUCGUAAUUGGCAUUUUUUUGCCUUGCCGACCAUACUGCUAUAUCACCACCCAUAUUCUGAGUCCUCCAGUUACAUGUUUUCCUUUUUUGGUUUCGAUUUAUAUCCAUUUUGUUUGAUGAUGAUUAAUAAACUAAACUAUGGAAGAAGAGUAUCUUAUCUGUUCUUAAGACCAAUUAUCCAUAUUUUUAUGUUGUUUUACAAUUGUUCUUACCUAUGAUGAGUUGCGAACUGUAUUGCUUACAUUGUUUGAACAAUCUGUGAGAAGCUUAUGCAACGUCUGAGGAUGAACAAGGAAAGGAACAAAUUUUCUUAUUUGCUCUUAGCUGACGGCAAUUACAGCAUCUACUUUUAUACUACUCAAUUAGUUUCUCCAAAAUGAUGAUUUCAGAAAGUGGCCCGACAAAUUUGCUAGCUGUAUUCUUUCUUUACCUUAUCCCGGUUCAUGUGAUGCCUGUCUCUUUGACUUUGUGCCGAUGUCUGAUCCGCAGACUAAACUUUCUGAAUUUGAUUCUGGGAAGAGCUGCAAUUUUCUUUUUGCGUUCGUUUUACAAUGCUGUAGCGUGUUAACAGGUGACUGGAACUUUCAAACAUGUGUGUAAGAAAAAGGAUCACAAUUUUUUUAUUGUUUUUGCAAUUAUUCUGUGUUUUACCGUUCAUCUGGGAUCAUAUGCAUCCGUGAGGAGAAACUUCGUGCCAGUCAAGUAAACCUUUUCAUUAGAUGUUUUCUGCUGUACAAGUUUGGGCCGGUUUGGCACCCCGCCCGUGCAGCCACGUGAUUGGCCCACUCCACUCCUCUCCAUGCAGCGCGUGGGCCUCCCUCAGCUGCGUGGUCGUGGAUGUGAAUACGGCUGCUGCGCCCCUCCUUCGCCGAGGACAGGCGCACCUCCUGGCCCGUGGCCUCCUGCUGCCCACCUUUAAAUUGAUGAUCUACUGUGUACAUUUAUAGUAAUUACAUACAAACAAAAUGGUGAUGAAAUUAAAUUAAUUUUGAAUUAUUUAUAUCGACAGUAAAUACUCACUAACAGUCUUUCCUCCUUCAUUUUACACUAGACUAGCAUUGUAGCACCGUUUUCCUUCUGAAUGUUAGAGGAUCUGGUUCACUAUUUCAGUUCUGUUAGAGUACAACUUAUGUAUUCCAGAAUUUAUGAAUGAUGUAAUAUAUUUCCAUGUUUAUCA